CAACGCGGGGAAGCAGAUGUCAACUUAUUCCGCCGCUCGAGUUUGCAUUGGACACGUUCGUUGAUUUGCAUCGCAUCGCUCUCACUACACAUCGGCCUUAGUGUAGAGAAAUUGGAAUUUUAAUUAUAAUCUGGGAUUUCACUGACAUCUUUUUUGAGUGUGUUUGAUGAGAAAACACUGCGAUUUUUUAAAUAAGUGUAUAAUUAUUUUAUAAAAUGACUGCAUUAAUUAAAAAAAUGUUAGAAGAAUUAUUCAAAAGAAAUUUUAAAACUAUAUAAAAUAAAUAAACAUUUGAACAAUAUUUCAACUUGGCACCCCUGGCCAACACACUCAAACUGCAACGAAAAAGAAAAACAAAUGGCCGCCACAGCAACACAUUGGUAGGGGGAUGUAAAACGGCAUUAAGUUUUCAGCCAGCGACACAGAAAGACUAUUUUAAUUCGGCCUUCAUCAGAAACCCCGGUAAGUUCGGUGCGAAAGCAAUGAUACCUGUGGCCGUCGCGAGGAGUGAAGAACCGACCGAAUUUUGCCACAACAAGAUAUUUUGAAGAUUACCCGGCUGCUCGAUCCAGAACGGUCCUCAUUACGAAAUGAUGGAGAAAAAUUUAAACCCGAAGAUGCUCCUGCGGAUCAAAAAUUUUUGGCUCAUGGAUCGAAAAGUGGACUGGCCUUGGUUGCCUGAAAAGCGAAUAUAUUCUGCGGAACUGGCCAACAGGAAACAUUUGGACCAAAAUGAGACACGGGAAUUUUUAAUGAAGAUGUACUGUAUUUUAGAGUAAAUCUAGAUAGAUUUUCUAGAAUAAUAAAAUUUUUAAAAUAA